rnacentral:rRNA from 1 species
AUGGAUUUAUCUAGACCAAUAUAUCAGAUUCUUAUGCUAUUUGGGGGAUUUCUUCUUCUACUAGGGGGUUUACAAGUAGUAUUAGUUACCGACCCUAUUUAUUCUGCCUUUUCAUUGGGAUUAAUUCUUAUUUAUAUAUCCGUAUUCCAUUUUUUAUUUAAUUUGUACUUUGUAGCUGUCGCACAACUUCUUAUUUAUGUGGGAGCCAUAAAUGUCGCAAUCAUAUUCGCCAUAAUGUUCAUAAAUCGCCCAGAAUGGUCUGAAGAUAAGAAUCGUUGGACUAUUGGAGAUGGUUUCACUUCACUCGUUUGUAUAACUAUUGUUCUUUCACUAAUGACUACUAUCCCAGAUACAUCAUGGUAG